UCCUAUCUGGUGAGAAAAACAGUGCGUGCCAUUCAGUCACUGGGGCCUCUGGGCCUCAGUCAGAAACCGUAAACGCGGACAACAACAAUGAUAACAGCAACUCUGCCACCUCAACCACGGCCAGAGGGCCAGAGACUCGCCCGAAAGACCCAAACACCAGAGAGACAGAGACUCUUUGAUCAGUCCCUGGGCUAUAAAAAGGAAUGGAAGGAGGCUGGAUAUGGAUUUCUCAACUUCCAUUUGGAAAGCAGGUGCCUGGAAUUACUCUCCUACCAAAACAACUCAUAAUAGAAGAAAGAUAAUUCCACACAGAAAAUUGGGAACCUAUUAUGAAGGACAAUGGAUGUUGGCAGCCCCCUAGAAAUGACCACUUCAAUAGCCAAAUUUUCCUCUAAAAUGGUUUUACUCUCUCUUUUUAAAAAUUUUUUCUCUUAAUGACUCAUGUUACUUAUCAAGUCUACUAGUUUUUUACUUUCUGGUUUAUUUACUAUUGCUUAUGUCUUUAUUAGUUCCUUUGUGCCACUUUGAUUCUUUUUCAUUAUUUUUUAAAUAGUAUCCUGAGUUAUAUGCUUAGUUCACUUUUCAGUGCUUUUUUGUUAUUAAAUGUUUAAUAUAAUUUGGA